CAAAGGAAUUGACGGGUCCCCGCACAAGCAGCGGAGCGUGUGGUUUAAUUCGUUGCUACGCGAAAAACCUUACCUGGGUUUGACAUAGCAGUGGUAGGGAAGAGAAAUCGGACCGACCCUUCGGGGAGCUGUUACAGGUGUUGCAUGGCUGUCGUCAGCUCGUGUCGUGAGAUGUUCGGUUAAGUCCGCUAACGAGCGCAACCCGCGUUGUGUGUUAUACGUGUCACACAAUACCGCCGGUAUUAAGUCGGAGGAAGGUGCGGAUGACGUCAAGUCAGCAUGACCUUUAUAU
rnacentral:rRNA from 1 species